AGCAGCCGCGGUAAUUCCAGCUCCAAUAGCGUAUAUUAAAGUUGUUGCAGUUAAAAAGCUCGUAGUUGAAUUUUGGGUUCUGCCAGUUGGUCCAUCUUUUGAUGAGUACUGAUUGUGUGGGGUCUAUCCGCCUGGUGAUACGUAAUGUACUUUAUUGUAUGUUGCGGGUAGUCAGGACCUUUACCUUGAAAAAUUAGAGUGUUUAAAGCAGGCUUAUGCCGGAAUACAUUAGCAUGGAAUAAUAGAAUAGGACGAUGUUGUUUUAUUUUGUUGGUUUCUAGGACAACCGUAAUGAUUAAUAGGGAUAGUUGGGGGCAUUAGUAUUCAAUUGUCAGAGGUGAAAUUCUUGGAUUUAUUGAAGACUAACUACUGCGAAAGCAUUUGCCAAGGAUGUUUUCAUUAAUCAAGAACGAAAGUUAGGGGAUCGAAGACGAUCAGAUACCGUCGUAGUCUUAACCAUAAACUAUGCCGACUAGGGAUCGGGCGAUGUUGUUUCCAUGACUCGCUCGGCACCUUAUA
rnacentral:rRNA from 1 species